rnacentral:lncRNA from 1 species
AUUUAUUACUUGUAAAGUUAAAAGUGAAACGUAGUUGUACUACAGUUGUAUCAGUUCCACUUAGUUGUACCACGAGAGUGUAAAAUGUUAAGUUUAAAAUUAUAGUACUUGUACCACAGUUAUACAUGAUCCUCUAAGUUGUAUCGUCCGAUAAUACGUCAGUGAUCUCCUUAAUAGAUGCCUUCAUCAAAAGAGCUUACCAAACAUCUUCACUUGAAAUCCAUUCUGUUUCAUCUCCACUCUUUAAAUUAUUUCCUUCAUAA